CAGCAACCUCUUGUGGUAUCCAGGGGCAAGUUUCCCCUAGGUACAGAUCCAGGAUCAGCUUCAAGCUUGGGCGGUAUACCAUAUAAACCGUAUACCGGGUAUAUGGAAAUAUCCACGGGAUGGUUUUUCAAUACCAUCUGAAAAUGUUUUUCAAUUACAUGUGAAUAUUUGUAGUUACUUUUACAGUAAAUACCUGCAGUGAACUUGUGCAACAAGAUAUAGCAUAUAGAUAAAGCAUAUUGCGUUCUGCAUUUUACCAGUCACAUUAUUUUACAUUAUGAAGCUUUACCGUGAGUUCCCCCAGAACAGUUGAGCCAGUCACAUUAUUUUACAUUAUGAAGCCUUACCGUGAGUUCCCCCAGAACAGUUGAGCCAGUCACGUGUGUUUUACAUUAUGAAGCUUUACCGUGAGUUCCCCCAGAACAGUUGAGCCAGUCACAUUAUUUUACAUUAUGAAGCCUUACCGUGAGUUCCCCCAGAACAGUUGAGCCAGUCACGUGUGUUUUACAUUAUGAAGCUUUACUGUGAGUUCCCCCAGAACAGUUGAGCCAGUCACGUGUGUUUUACAUUAUGAAGCCUUACCGUGAGUUCCCCCAGAACAGUUGAGCCAGUCACGUUAUUUUACAAUAUGAAGCUUUACCGUGAGUUCCCCCAGAACAGUUGAGCCAGUCACGUGUGUUGUGUAAAUAGCACAACAGGAGAAAGCUGUGUAUUGACGGGGUCGCGUUUUAUAUUGAGAGUGUUUUUUUUGUUUCAAUAGAGUUUAUUUUAACUUUAUUUUACUAGGCAAGUCAGUUAAGAACAAAUUCUUCUUUUCAAUGACGGCCUACUGGGGAACAGUGGGUUAACUGCCUGUUCAGGGGCAGAACGACAGAUUUGUACCUUGUCAGCUCUGGGAUUUGAACUUGCAACCUUUCGGUUACUAGUCCAACACACACUAGGCUACCCUGCCGCCCCUAGUGAUCAGGGAUGUGCAACUAUAGUUUUCCUUCACAGAAAAUACAUUAGUGCAACGUAUUCGGUGGAAAAUAGCUUAAUUUAUCAGAUGACAACAGAAGUGCAAUGCUAUUUGACUUGCAGCCACACAGGUAAAUUAAUCUCUGGACCUCACACAUACUGUAAGGUUCCUCAUCUCUGUACCCCACACAUACUGUAAGGUCCCUCAUCUCUGUACCCCACACAUACUGUAAGGUCCCUCAUCUCUGUACCCCACACAUACUGUAAGGUCCCUCAUCUCUGUACCCCACACAUACUGUAAGGUCCCUCAUCUCUGUACCCCACACAUACUGUAAGGUCCCUCAUCUCUGUACCCCACACAUACUGUAAGGUCCCUCAUCUCUGUACCCCACACAUACUGUAAGGUCCCUCAUCUCUGUACCCCACACAUACUGUAAGGUCCCUCAUCUCUGUACCCCACACAUACUGUAAGGUCCCUCAUCUCUGUACCCCACACAUACAAUUAUCUGUAAGGUUCAUCAGUCGAGAAGUGAAUUUCAAACACAGAUUCAACCACAAAGACCAGGGAGGUUUUCCAAUGCCUCGCAAAGAAGGGCACCUAUUGGUAGAUGGGUAAAAAAUACAAAUAAAUUGACAUUGAAUAUC